rnacentral:rRNA from 1 species
GAUGAACGCUGGCGGCGUGCCUAAUACAUGCAAGUCGAGCGAACAGACGAGGAGCUUGCUCCUCUGACGUUAGCGGCGGACGGGUGAGUAACACGUGGAUAACCUACCUAUAAGACUGGGAUAACUUCGGGAAACCGGAGCUAAUACCGGAUAAUAUAUUGAACCGCAUGGUUCAAUAGUGAAAGACGGUUUUGCUGUCACUUAUAGAUGGAUCCGCGCCGCAUCAGCUAGUUGGUAAGGUAACGGCUUACCAAGGCAACGAUGCGUAGCCGACCUGAGAGGGUGAUCGGCCACACUGGAACUGAGACACGGUCCAGGCUCCUACGGGAGGCAGCAGUAGGGAAUCUUCCGCAAUGGGCGAAAGCCUGACGGAGCAACGCCGCGUGAGUGAUGAAGGUCUUCGGAUCGUAAAACUCUGUUAUUAGGGAAGAACAAAUGUGUAAGUAACUAUGCACGUCUUGACGGUACCUAAUCAGAAAGCCACGGCUAACUACGUG